rnacentral:rRNA from 1 species
GACAGAGGGUGCAAACGUUGCUCGGAAUUACUGGGCGUAAAGCGCGUGUAGGCGGGCCGAUAAGUCAGGUGUGAAAUCCCUAGGCUCAACCUAGGAACUGCAUUUGAAACUGUCGGUCUUGAGUGAUGGAGAGGAUGGCGGAAUUCCUGGUGUAGAGGUGAAAUUCGUAGAUAUCAGGAGGAACACCGGUGGCGAAGGCGGCCAUCUGGAAAUCUACUGACGCUGAGACGCGAAAGCGUGGGGAGCAAACAGG